rnacentral:tRNA from 1 species
GGCAAGUUAGCUCAGUUGGUUAGAGUGUGGUGCUGAUAACACCAAGGUCACGGGUUCGAUCCCCAUUUGGUCC